AGUGAACGCUGGCGGCAGGCCUAACACAUGCAAGUCGAGCGGCAGCGGGGUUCCCGCGAGGGGAUGCCGGCGAGCGGCGGACGGGUGAGGAACACAUCGGAAUCUGCCUGGUUGUGGGGGAUAACGUAGGGAAACUUACGCUAAUACCGCAUGCGACCCUGAGUCGACGGACUGGGGGUGAAAGUGAGGGACCUUCGGGCCGUCACGCGACCAGAUGAGCCGAUGUCGGAUUAGCUAGUUGGCGGGGGUAACGGCCCGCCCGAAGGCGGACGAUCCGUAGCUGGUCUGAGAGGAUGAUCA
rnacentral:rRNA from 1 species